rnacentral:misc_RNA from 1 species
AACGCAUAUUGCGCCCUCUGGUAUUCCGGGGGGCAUGCCUGUUCGAGCGUUUUUAAUAAAAAUCAAGUUUAAAAACUUGGUAUUGGGCUUUACAUCUAUUUUGUGGAUGGGCCUAAAAAUUAGUGGCGAUUGCCCCCUUCUUUGGCUCUCAAACGUAGUAAAACUUUUUUCUCGUUUGAUAAAAAAAAAGUUGGGAGGGAAAUUUGCCAAAACUUUUUUUUUUUAAAAAUUAGACCUCGGAUCAGGUAGGAAUACCCGCUGAACUUAA